GACGAACGCUGGCGGCGUGCCUAAUACAUGCAAGUAGAACGCACAGUUUAUACCAUAGCUUGCUACACAAUAAACUGUGAGUUGCGAACGGGUGAGUAACGCGUAGGUAACCUGCCUGGUAGCGGGGGAUAACUAUUGGAAACGAUAGCUAAUACCGCAUAAUAUUGAUUAUUGCAUGAUAAUUGAUUGAAAGAUGCUAUUGCAUCACUACCAGAUGGACCUGCGUUGUAUUAGCUAGUAGGUGAGGUAACGGCUCACCUAGGCGACGAUACAUAGCCGACCUGAGAGGGUGAUCGGCCACACUGGGACUGAGACACGGCCCAGACUCCUACGGGAGGCAGCAGUAGGGAAUCUUCGGCAAUGGACGAAAGUCUGACCGAGCAACGCCGCGUGAGUGAAGAAGGGUUUCGGAUCGUAAAGCUCUGUUGUAAGAGAAGAACGGGUGUGAGAGUGGAAAGUUCACACUGUGACGGUAUCUUACCAGAAAGGGACGGCUAACUACGUG
rnacentral:rRNA from 1 species